AAGACGCUAGUAAAGAAAUAUUACGUCACCUUGUCAAGGUGAAAUGGUGGGUGGGAGUCCCACGCGUUUUA
rnacentral:tRNA from 1 species